ensembl:lncRNA
AGAAAGGGCGGCUCAUAUCAGUGCUUCCCCUAUCCUCUUCCCAUGGCAGCAUGGCUUCCCUGUCCUGGCUUUCAUCCUCAGAACAGGAAAUCUCAACUUUGCCCACACUUCUUGAGAUGGUUUAAGACAGCUUUAUAUAUGAACACCUGAAAACAAGACAGCUUGAGACUAAACAGACCUACCAGAUUUAUAUUUGCCUAGCCUACAUAAAAAAGCUACUGGAAGUUAGUCAUAUCCUGUGGGAGUGAGUGAGGAGAAGGAAAAGAAUGAGCUCUGCUUACUCAGAGUUCCUAAUCAAACACCAGGAGCGGAGAAGAACUGAGUAAUUCUAAAUUUUUGCACACAUGUGAAAUUAGAAUUUGCUGGAGAAGCAACGGCAAAAUCCAACGUAUACCCUGUGGUAGUCUACAGAAGUAGUACUCUUCUGACUCACAACAGCCUUUCCUGCACUAUCAGUUCCUAGCACAUGAUUCUCCUGAAAACGACCAUCUACACUUGCCAAGAUUCCAGGAACCUUUCUCAAGCCCACAACAGGGAAGAUAUCUGCCUUGUUCUUUCUUUCUUUCAUCUACAACUACUGCAGACGUUUUGCUCCAGGAUUAUAAGAUUGUGUCUCGAGGAAUGUGAGAGCCUCUGGGAAAGUACUACGUUCCUUAUCUGUCAUUUUGGGAACUGACAUAAACUGCCAUUGAGUUCAUCUGUAUUUCCUAGAAUACGCUCAGGACUUCACCAGAUCAGACCUAUGUAAAAACAAACACAUACAAAAUACUGGAUGUACCCAAAUUUCCUGACUCACUUUAUCAAAUUCACAGCUGUAUAGUUCCAGGUAAAGAAGUAGAUAUACUAUUCUUAUUAGUUUUUCUAUUUCAGAAAACAUGUAAGAUUGAAGACUGUAACUUAACUGAAGCCAGGGAUACGAAAAAAGAGGAAGUAGAAGAAUAAUGUACCAAUAAAAUGUUGACAGUUCUCUGUUUUUUGCCAAUUGUUGAUAAAAUGACAGACGGUAAUGUUUAUGAAAUGUAUAAUUCAAAGCAAAUUUGCCUAGAUAACCAAGUUAAAGAUGCUUUAUCUUCCCUAACAAACAUAAUGCAGCAAUCAGCAAAACCCAGAGUACAUAAUACAAACUGAAAAUGCAAGAAAACAAAUCUUUUCUUUUCGCCUAAGUCAACAUAUUUUCCGAGCACAAAUAAAAUUUUUGGCUUUCUUUCAAAUCUUCACAGCUAAUCAAUAGUUUAGUCAUACGAUGAAAAAUGAUGUAUCCAUAUUCUUCACAAUUGACAUUUCCUAACUGUCUCCAAGGUCGCAUUGAUUGCCAGUUGUUCAGUUUACCCAACUUCUGUUUUGAGCCAAAUAAUAUGAUCUUUGUUUCAUUAAUAUUUAAUAGUAAUUUAGAUUGCGCCAGAUGAUCUUAAAGCUCAUUUAAAUCAGCUUGAAGAUAAUAUUAAGCUUUCUUCUAGUAUAAUCUAUUAUCAUAAAUGAUUGUGUCAUCUGCAUAUAAAUGGUGAGUUGAAUAUGAUAAUGAAGUGCAAAGAUUAUCAAUAUAGAACAACAAAUGCAUCUGACUUAAAAUAAAUCCUUCAGGGACCCAUUUACUCUGUUUUCAGUGGUAAAUGAUGCAUCGUUUCACUUCAAGUAUUCUACAGAAAACAUAAAAGAUUUGGAUCAUGAGAUAUAAUAUUUAUCCUGUGUGGGGAAAAAAAAAAAGAAAAUAAAGAUCCCACAUUGU